AUAUUAACAUUUACAUUUAGUCAUUUAGCAGAGCUUUUAUCAAAAGCGACUUACAAAUGAGGACAAUGGAAGCAAUCAAAAUCAACAAAAGAGCAUUGGUAUGCAAGUGCUAUAGCUUCCCAUUUAUUUUCUAUGGGUGCCCCAUUUUUGGGCACGAAUAACAAAUUUAGGAGUUUCUUUUCAACCACUUAAUUUUGUUGAAUCGAGUCUCUUUUUUGUGCGUGUUCAGGUGGCAAACUUACGAAAAGUAGCCAAGUCUUAGCUUAGGAAACUAUUUUAAAAAAUAAAUAAUGAUUUUGCCCAAAUUUGUCCCGCAUUAUGAAUGAGGGUUAAAUCGGAACAUUUGGGGUGAGGAAAGAAAUUUGGAUUAACUGUAAAAUAAUUAAGAAUAAAACAUGUUUUGUGAUUAUGAUAAACAUAAUAAAUGAGGGGGAAAAAGUUAAGAAUUGAAUUCCUGCCGCUAGUUGUGUUGUGUGUAAAGCACCUUGGAAAGACCUGCCUACCGGGAUUAGACACAGCGCUAUUUUGGGGCUCUUGUCACAUUGCUCGUCAGAUUCAUAGCGCUGCUGGGCUGGGUCACGCUGCUAGGACUCGACACAAAUAAACACCAAGAAAGAGCCUUGAAACCGGGUUAAUUUAAAAAGUUUCAUAGUUGGUCACUUCAUUAGCGUUUCUGCUUUGACAUACCUCUGGAAGUUACCGAGUGUAAAUACUUUGGCGUUUGCGAGAGACACGACGCUUCUGAAACUUUUGCGUGCGGAACGACGUUGAAAGACGAAAUGGGCGAGAAUGAUAUUCAAAUGGAGAGUACAGAGCAAAUGCAGGAGCCUCACGCUUCAACCUCGGACAAAAUCGACUUGUCAUUAGACGACAUUAUAAAGCUGAAUAAGAAGGAACAGAAGGCAAACAGAGCUGCCAACAGAGCUAAAACUAAACGUGCUGUUAACAGGAACAACGUCUUGAAGAAACUCCACCAGGUUCCGCAGCAACAGAGGGGACUCAGACGAGGAGCGCAGCAGUACCAAGGGCCUGGCAGGGUGAGAGGUUUAAGGAGACAAAGAGGAUCUGGGAGGGGCAUGAUUUCGAGAAGGGAUUCACUAAAUAGAGCUGCUGCUGCUGCCACGACUGGUGAGCAGUUUGAUCAGAGCACAUUCACAUCGAGGGGAACAUUCAGAGGACGGGGAAGAGGUAGAGGAAGAGGAGGCGGACUGAGCAGGGGUGCAUUCUCAACAAGAGGACAAAGGGGUGGAAGACCAUUUGUAUUAGACAGAGGGUUUGCCGCUACAAAAAGAGCUGAGAAACUACAAAAGUAUCAGACAAUAAGAAGUCGAAGAACAGCACCAUCUGGCUCCAUGCUGACAGUUUCCCUGCCAAAUGCUAAAUCUGCACCUGUCGCUGUGAAGACGUCUAAUCAGACUAGGAGGGGUGGGGCAGUGUUAAGAGGCAGAUCAUCUAGAGGAGCCAGUACUUCUUCACUUCAGGGGAUUCAUCUGCAAUUUAACUACAAAGCAACUACUAACCAGACUGCCGUAUACCUUAAUGACCGUUUCACUGACCUGAGGUUAAGAGGCCAAGGACGAGGCCGGGGAAGAGGAAGAGGAGCUGUUGGAGAAGGUGGAAGAGGUGGAGGAAGAGGAAACAUUGUUGGGGGUGGACAAGGUAGAGGACAAGGAAACAUUGGUGGUGUAAGAGGCAGAGGAAGAGGAAACUUUAUGAGGGGUGGCAGAGACAGAGGCAGAGGAAGAGGAAACUUUAUGAGGGGUGGCAGAGACAGAGGAAGAGGAAACAUUAUGGGGGGUGGCAGAGGAAGAGGGGGGGUUGGUGUGACAAGAGGAGGAAGAGGCUUGAGAAGAGGGAGGGGAGGAUCAAGAGGAGCCGAUCGAACAGUAACUCUUCAGUGAUUAGAAUUACAUCCAUUCAAUUUUAUGAAGUAAUAGUAUUUACUGAAAAAUUCAUUUUUGGUAAAAAAAAAAUUUAUUUUGGUGCAUCACUGUUUACUGUAAUAAUGUCGUUCAACUUAAUAUCUGUAACAUUUCUGACAGCGGGAUAAGGGGUUUUUAUUGCUGUGUACAAACAAAAAAAAAUGUCCUUUUUAAAAGCAAAUGUAAAUUAUUGAUUGUUAUAUGAUGAAGGUUUUUACAUUUUUAGGUUAUGAAAAAAUAAAAUGUUAAAAAGUACCUCA
ensembl:lncRNA